rnacentral:rRNA from 1 species
GACGAACGCUGGCGGCGUGCCUAACACAUGCAAGUCGAGCGGAGUUUUUCGGAUUGAGACCUUCGGGAGGAUUUCUGAGAAACUUAGCGGCGGACGGGUGAGUAACGCGUGGGCAAUCUGCCUCUUACAGGGGGAUAACACAGGGAAAUGACUGCUAAUACCGCAUAAGCGCACAGUAUCGCAUGAUACAGUGUGAAAAACUCCGGUGGUAUGAGAUGGACCCGCGUCUGAUUAGCUAGUUGGUAAGGUAACGGCUUACCAAGGCGACGAUCAGUAGCCGGCCUGAGAGGGUGAUCGGCCACAUUGGGACUGAGACACGGCCCAAACUCCUACGGGAGGCAGCAGUGGGGAAUAUUGCACAAUGGGGGAAACCCUGAUGCAGCAACGCCGCGUGAAGGAUGACGUAUUUCGGUAUGUAAACUUCUAUCAGCAAGGAGAUGAUGACGGUACUUGACUAAGAAG